UACGAAGGGGGCUAGCGUUGCUCGGAAUCACUGGGCGUAAAGCGCACGUAGGCGGCUUCUAAGUCAGGGGUGAAAUCCUGGAGCUCAACUCCAGAACUGCCUUUGAUACUGGAGAGCUAGAGUCCGGAAGAGGUGAGUGGAACUGCGAGUGUAGAGGUGAAAUUCGUAGAUAUUCGCAAAGAACACCAGUGGCGAAGGCAGCUCGCUGGGACGGUACUGACGCUGAGACGCGAAAGCGUGGGGAGCAAACAGGG
rnacentral:rRNA from 1 species